CUGGUCUCUUACCCAUGAGACAUGAGCCUGUGAUGAACUGCUGUUAUCAUUUCUGUAAUCAGGAGAAAGAGUCAUUUAAAAAGGUCAGAAAUAAGGCCAUGGCUAGGUCUGAAAAGAGAGCAUUUAGUAACGUGAUUUGCUGCGUGGUCAUGUGUUUCUAACUACCCAAAGAUGCUGAUUCUAAGUGUGGAUGCAGGCAGGGAGUAAAGAGGGAAACAUUCUACGAUAGAAACUGAGCAGACGUUUUAAAAGGACAUCUAUGUCAAAAGCAAACAAACAAACAAACAAAUGCUGAGAGUUUGAUGACAUUUGGAAGUCGCCCGGUGCCCUAUGGUCGUGGCAUCCUCAGCCUGGGGACUGGCUAUGGCUUGCUGGCCUGGUCCCCCGCUCUGCACUCCUAGUCAACACCCCGACCUGGGCUCUCAUUACCUCCUGCCACGGGGUUUCCAUGGUACUCGAUAGGGGUGUGUGUGUGUGUGUGUGUGUGUGUCCCUCUGUUUGGCAGUUUGGGCAAGUUUCUUAACUUCUUGGUGUCCAACCUUCAUCAUCAUGAAAUGGGAAUAUAAUAGCACCACCCUCGAGGGGCCUUGUAAAAAUCAGUGAUAAUUGGCACACAAGUUACAAGGAGACUCAACAGCCAUUAAGUACACAUUCAGUGAUUUAGAAAUAUACCCACACGCCUUUCCAUCUCUCCCUGGGCCCUGAACCCUGGGAAUCCAGAAGGAAUUGGCUCUCAUGCCCCCGAAGUAAGAUCCUGUCUGUGUCAUGAAUUACAUGGCAUGUUCUGUAUUUGCAGGAUAUUUAUUGAUUAGGUGAAUGGGAAGUGCUUCUUGGUUCUCUCCAGGAAUACCUGGGGUUCUAGAUGUCACGACCAUCAUCAUGACCAUCAUCGUCAUCAUACUUACCCUUCACAUCAUCACAGUGAGAACAGCUCCCAUUUCAUUCAGCUCCAACCAUAUGGAUUGAUUAUCCUGCAAGGAAAGACUUCUGCUGCAGGGACUUUUAGCCCUUCUAGCCGCCCUGUCCUUUCAAAAGUGUGUCAUACUUAAAACAUUGGAAUUUUUAAUGAUGGCAGAAAUGUAUCAUUUUAGCUAUUCUCACUGGACAAAUCAUUUACAGAGUGUGAGAGGGAUGCUUGGGUUUCUAUCAGUUCAGCUGGAUAUAAAGGGGUAUAAAGGGAAAUUACAAGGUAACAGUACCUCCAGCAAGUGUUAGAUUUACUUUCUCUCAGGUAGAAAAAGACAAAGCAAGCUGUCUGUCCAGGGUGAAGGUCAAAGGGCAGUCAGUUCAUUCAUCUCUCUUCUCUACCAUCCUUAGCAUUGGCUUCCUUCCUCAAAAUUGUCUUAUGGUUUUAUUAAGGCUGCUAGAGCUCCAGCCAUCACCUCUGCAUUCCACACAGGAGGAAGGAAGGAGGUGGGGGCAAAAGGCUAAGAACCCUAGAUGUCAGGCUCCUUUAAAGAGCCUUCCUAGAAUCCCCAAGGAACCCUUUCUGCCUAAGUCUUUGGCCCCCUAUCUGUAGAGGAUCCUGGGAAAUGUUGUUUUUUAACUGGGCACAUUGCUGCCCCUGACAACAGGGGUUGUUGACAACACAGGAAGCAGGGGAGAAAGGAUAUGAGAGGGGCAAAAAGCAGACAUGAAAUAACACGUUGCUCUCACUGGAAGUAUCAGGAGGGGGGUACAAAGAGACCACGGCUUCAAGGGCUUUGAACAACUGGAGGAGACAUUCAAAGGGACAGAAAUCACUUGUUUGAUUUUUUUGUUAUAUCUAAGUAGGAUUUCUUUUCAUUCAUGCAUUUAGCAAAUAUUUCUCAUUUACCCAAUAAAAUAAUGAUAAUUCGAGCACUGCUUUGUUUUUGGAGUGUUGACUUGGUAGCAGGCGUGGUUAAGGAAGCUUUGUACAUAUGACCUCACUUAGUGUGCAGAUUCUAUCAAGUAUCGUCCCCAUCACCCAGAUGAGGAACUUGGGGCACAGGAGGGUUUAAGGAGGUGAGUAAGGUCACACUGUUAGUAAGUAGAGGAGCUUGGCUUCGAACCCAACCGUCUGGUUCUUGGACCCAGAGAU